rnacentral:rRNA from 1 species
AUUGAACGCUGGCGGCAGGCCUAACACAUGCAAGUCGAGCGGAUGAAGGGAGCUUGCUCCUGGAUUCAGCGGCGGACGGGUGAGUAAUGCCUAGGAAUCUGCCUGGUAGUGGGGGAUAACGUCCGGAACCGGGCGCUAAUACCGCAUACGUCCUGAGGGAGAAAGUGGGGGAUCUUCGGACCUCACGCUAUCAGAUGAGCCUAGGUCGGAUUAGCUAGUUGGUGGGGUAAAGGCCUACCAAGGCGACGAUCCGUAACUGGUCUGAGAGGAUGAUCAGUCACCGUGGAGGUGAGAGGCGGUCCGGGCUCCUACGGGAGGCAGCAGUGGGGAAGGUGGGAAAAAGGGCGAAAGACUGAACAAGCCAUGCAGGGUGGAUGAAGAAGGGCUGCGGAUGGUAAGGCGGUUUAAGUGGGGAGAAAGGGAAUUGACUUAAACGAUUGCUGUUUGGCGGUAACGAACAAAAUAGGCACCGCUAACCUCCUU